AGUGAACGCUGGCGGUAGGCCUAACACAUGCAAGUCGAACGGCAGCACAGGAGAGCUUGCUCUCUGGGUGGCGAGUGGCGGACGGGUGAGGAAUACAUCGGAAUCUACUCUGUCGUGGGGGAUAAGGUAGGGAAACUUACGCUAAUACCGCAUACGACCUACGGGUGAAAGCAGGGGAUCUUCGGACCUUGCGCGAUUGACUGCGCCGAUGUCGGAUUAGCUAGUUGGCGGGGUAAAGGCCCACCAAGGCGACGAUCCGUAGCUGGUCUGAGAGGAUGAUCAGCCAAACUGGAACUGAGACACGGUCCAGACUCCUACGGGAGGCAGCAGUGGGGAAUAUUGGACAAUGGGCGCAAGCCUGAUCCAGCCAUACCGCGUGGGUGAAGAAGGCCUUCGGGUUGUAAAGCCCUUUUGUUGGGAAAGAAAUCCAGCUGGCUAAUACCCGGUUGGGAUGACGGUACCCAAAGAAUAAGCACCGGCUAACUUCGUGCCAGCCGCCGCGGUAA
rnacentral:rRNA from 1 species